GCAUGUGAGGGCAAUCUGGCUGCGACAUCUGUCACCCCACUGAUCGCCAGGGUUGAUUCGGCUGAUCUGGCUGGCUAGGCGGGUGUCCCCUCCCUCCCUCACCGCUCCAUGUGCGUCCCUCCCGAAGCUGUGUGCUCAUUGAAGAGGACGACCUUCCCCGCUAGAGGACCGGUUUUCGAGUUCGGUCAAGGGUAUACGAGUAGCUGCGCUUGCCUGCUAGAGCCUCCAAAAAUCUCGCCUAGUAGACACUGGGAUGUGAUGUGCAGGGCUGCACCUAGUGAUCUUUAGCAUCCAUAGAGACAAUGGCCUGAGCUUAGGCAGGGGACAACCACAAUGCUUGUUCCUCU
rnacentral:snRNA from 1 species